rnacentral:rRNA from 1 species
CUGCGAGUGAAGCGGCAAAAGCUCAAAUUUGAAAUCUAACGUUCAUUCUGACGUUCGAGUUGUAAUUUGGAGGAGCGCCUUCGGGAACCUGACGCCGUUCUAAGUUCUUUUGGAACUGGACAUCACAGAGGGUGAGAAUCCCGUGCCUGGGCGGCAGUCUGGUUCCCACACGAAGCGUUUCCGACGAGUCGAGUUGUUUGGGAAUGCAGCUCAAAAUGGGUGGUAAAUUUCAUCUAAAGCUAAAUACAGGCGAGAGACCGAUAGCGCACAAGUAGAGUGAUCGAAAGAUGAAAAGCACUUUGAAAAGAGAGUUAAACAGUACGUGAAAUUGUUGAAAGGGAAGCGCUUGAGAUUGAACGUUGUGGAUAGGGUGGAGCGGUUUCGAGGGGCUUUUUGCUCUUUGUGACCUUCCCUUCAUCCUCCCUCCAACCAMCAUCGGUUCCGGCGGCGAGAAAANCGGCUGGGAAAUGUGGCUCCUCUCGGGGAGUGUUUAUAGACCCUUUCGAUUUGCGCCAGCUGGGACCGAGGCAACUAGCGAGGCUGGGGUUUUUACCCCAUGCCCUCAAGGAUGUGUGGCAUGUCGAUCUUAAGCGACCCGUCUUG